UGGGGAAUUUUUCGCAAUGGGCGCAAGCCUGACGAAGCAACGCCGCGUGGGGGAUGAAGGUCUUCGGAUUGUAAACCCCUGUCGACCGGGACGAAGGUACCCGACCUAACACGUCGGAGUAUUGACUGUACCGGUGGAGGAAGCCACGGCUAACUCUGUGCCAGCAGCCGCGGUAAUACAGAGGUGGCAAGCGUUGUUCGGAAUUACUGGGCGUAAAGGGCGCGUAGGCGGCCCGAUAAGUCCCGCGUGAAAUCCCCCGGCUCAACCGGGGAACUGCGCGGGAAACUGUCGAGCUUGAGUUCGGGAGAGGGAAGCGGAAUUCCGGGUGUAGCGGUGAAAUGCGCAGAUAUCCGGAGGAACACCGGUGGCGAAGGCGGCUUCCUGGACCGACACUGACGCUGAGGCGCGAAAGCUAGGGGAGCAAACAGG
rnacentral:rRNA from 1 species